AUACCAUCCCGAAGGAAAAUACAAUCCGAACGUGCAGGACCCAUGGUUAGCGAUGGAAGUUAGGGUUAGGGCGCUGCCGCACUGCCCCAUACCUUCAUCCGCCAUCCGUCCUGCUCCCCCUCCCACCAUCGCUCUGCCGCCGCCCCCAUGUUCCACCCGAUGCGCCAGCACGACGCGCCCGGCAGGCCGGUCUUGCCUUGCCGUCCACCCACACAUCUCCUCCCUCGGAUUCUAGCGAGCUGCGGCGGCAACCACGGUGAACUGCCAUGGGUGCGGCCAAUCCGUGCUCCAGUUCAGGCAGGUCAACCAUGUCUCCACGAUGGCGCGGGCCAACCUGGUGGUGCCGGACGCUGCUAGUCUCGGCCGUCGCGUGAUUGUGUGGAUGACGCUCAGCAUGUCCCUGUAAGCGCCGGCUACUGCUGCUCUCCGCCCCCAUAUGUUGCAACCUUGGUCUAUCCUUCACUCGAUUCUUGAAACUGUUUGCGUUUUCUGAAACUUCCUACAUUAGGAGACACUUGCCCCAGAUCCAAUUCGUCGAUGGAGUUAGAACAAUUCCGUACAACAGAGUCUUAGGAGUGCGACAGCGCCAUCCUGUUCCACAAACCAUGUGAAGAAUGAUGGGUGGUGUAAUCCCAUGCUAGCUAGAGUGCUAGACAGAUUUAAUAAACUCUUUUGAGCUCAUCUUUUGGCCUGAAACACAACUAAACUGCCCCAGUAGUGAGCAAUGAUUAAUAAAACGGAGUUCAUUUGAUCCAUCUGAUAAAAAUAACUAUUGGGGAAUAAGAAUGAAAACUAAUCACGUGUUGUUUCUGCAGUGGAAUUCAGCCGUGACGAUCAGAAGUUCAGGACCCCACUAUAGGCAGGAAAAAAGAUUAAUCUUGUAAUUUGCUCGCAGGAGAGCGAUGACUGUGGCAGCAAGCUCUCUAGGGAUGGAGAGCACUGCACAGAGAAGGAAGGGAACGUGAAUGGAAUUGGGCAUUGGUAUAGUGUCAGUUUCGGUCAGGCUGCCCACCAUGUGUGGUGUUUCAG